rfam:Picea glauca, whole genome shotgun sequence.
CCCUUGGUUUUUUUCAAAACCAACAAGGGACCCCUCAAAAAUCAGU